UGAGGUAGUGACAAGAAAUAACAAUACAAGGCAGUUAAAAUGCUUUGUAAUUGGAAUGAUAGAAAUUUAAACACUUUUUAAAGUAUCAAUUGGAGGGCAAGUCUGGUGCCAGCAGCCGCGGUAAUUCCAGCUCCAAUAGCGUAUAUUAAAAUUGUUGCAGUUAAAAAGCUCGUAGUUGAAUUUCUGCUUAAAAUAACCAGUCUGCUUUUAACAAAAGUGGUAUCUUGGUGUGUUUUUAGCAAUAAUGUCCUUUGAAAUGUGUUUUACUUUGUUGUAAAAGGCAAUAUUCAGGAUUUUUACUUUGAGAAAAUUAGAGUGUUUCUAGCAGGCUAAUGCUUUGAAUACUGCAGCAUGGAAUAAUAAAAUAGGAAUUUGGUUCUACAUUAUUGGUUUUAAGAGCUGAAUUAAUGAUUGAUAGGAACAGUUGGGGGCAUUUGUAUUUAACUGUCAGAGGUGAAAUUCUUAGAUUUGUUAAAGACAAACUACUGCGAAAGCAUUUGCCAAAGAUGUUUUCAUUAAUCAAGAACAAAAGUUAGGGGAUCGAAGAA
rnacentral:rRNA from 1 species